AGUGAACGCUGGCGGUAGGCCUAACACAUGCAAGUCGAACGGCAGCACAGUAAGAGCUUGCUCUUACGGGUGGCGAGUGGCGGACGGGUGAGGAAUACAUCGGAAUCUACUUUUUCGUGGGGGAUAACGUAGGGAAACUUACGCUAAUACCGCAUACGACCUACGGGUGAAAGCAGGGGAUCUUCGCACCUUGCGCGUCUGAAUUAGCCGAUGUCGGAUUAGCUAGUUGGCGGGGUAAAGGCCCACCAAGGCGACGAUCCGUAGCUGGUCUGAGAGGAUGAUCAGCCACACUGGAACUGAGACACGGUCCAGACUCCUACGGGAGGCAGCAGUGGGGAAUAUUGGACAAUGGGCGCAAGCCUGAUCCAGCCAUACCGCGUGGGUGAAGAAGGCCUUCGGGUUGUAAAGCCCUUUUGUUGGGAAAGAAAAGCAGCAGGUUAAUACCCCGCUGUUCUGACGGUACCCAAAGAAUAAGCACCGGCUAACUUCGUG
rnacentral:rRNA from 1 species